ensembl:lncRNA
CUGCCUUCUUUUUUCUGCUUAGAAACGUCUCUUACCUUUGCUCUCUCAGUAUUGUUCUGUGUCUCGGAACUGCAGGUUUUCCACAAAAGAAAAUUCGGUUGUGUCAAGUGGUAGACGCUGUGCUCUGAGCCAAGAAAGGGAUGGAGGAGGCAUUGUCCUGGCAAGCACUGGGCUGCGUGCGUGUCCUCUGGUGAGGAGAGAAACUUUCCGCUGCGCUGCCCCUCCAGCUUCCUCAAGAGCAACCAUGGUGAUGGUGUGGUUAUUGUUUUUCUUUGGGCAUGGGCCAAACCACGCAGAUGGCAUACUAGGACGAGCCUGUGGAAGGAGACCAAUGGUUUUGUUGCCAACUCUUCGAGAAAAUCAGAGGAGCGACUGGGAAAUCUGUCUUCCAUGGAAAAGAGGAAAGAUGCUAAGGGACAGGAUGUACCCUCCUUGACAGUGUGGUCAAACAGCCAGCUUCCUCACUUGUCCCUAAAGAGCUCUCAGACAACUGUCUAGAAAAGUGCACAGUAUCCCCAGCUGUUAACAGCAGGAUAUACUGCAGCACUCCAGACUGCUGCUGCCAUGUCGUUUCAGUGCCUCCGGGGUCAGCUCAGUGUAUUAAAUUAACAGUUUUCCCAGGCAAUGCAAAAUGUCUGUGAACAGAAUGGUGCAGCAUAAUAAUGGGAUACAAGGGGAAGAUACCUGCUUAAAUAUGAAAUGUUUUGGUAAGAGCAGGAGACGUUGAAGUGGUUCUGACUUACAUGACUUAGUGCCAAACACACGUUGUCAUGCAGCAGUCCCAGCACGCUGUGUGUCUGUUCACCACCACUUCACAUUUUCAUAGCUUAUUUUAGAACAGUUGCAUUUUUUUUUCCAUCCUUAAUAAUUUAUGCGCUUAGAAUUAUCAAUAACGUGAAGCUUCAUUAUAAACUAUCUGGAGGAUUCUCAUCUGACUCGUCCCAUUAAAUUAUUAUUCCCAAACAUGAUUUAUAUUUAAUAAGACAUCAAUUGAACAUCAGUAAAAAUAAUAAUUAAUGAACUAUAUCUUCAUAGAAAUAUCAAUAGCUUAAAGACAAGCAAAUGCUGUGUACGGUCUGCAGGUCAGCUGUCAAACCUCUCUGAGAAUAUUUGUCUGUUUAGUAUUUAGAAUAUGAUAGUAAACCACACAGAUAUUUAAUUGCUGUGGUCUUCAGCUGAUUCUUGUGACAACUGUGGACCACGCCAAACCAUGAACCUGUAAGGCAGAACUGGGAAGUAACAAAGUGUUCUGUGUAGGUGAGGAGGUAAUCUCAAAACACUACAAAUGCCCAAGCAACUUCACGUUUCCACAAACAAAAUGUCAGAAGAAUUUUGGUUUGGGUAACUUUUUUUCUUUAACAUGAUCUACUGGAUUGAAAUGCUCUAUUUCUCCAUACAGAAAGUCAAAAUAAACAAUUUUACUGAUUGAAACUUCUGCCUAAAAACACAUUAAAAUAGCCUAAAGUUCAACAGUGUCGUUUGAGUCUUCUGUUCUAACAAACUAUUGCUCCACAGGACAAACUUCAUCAAAUAUUUGUAUUCAGAAAGAAGUGACAUUACUUCAUCCCAGGGAAUUGCAGCAAAGGCCCUUAAUCCUACUGCACCUUAUAGCAUUGCAGUAGUGGUUAUCACUCAUCAGGGACCACUUCUGUUUACAUUUCCUCAGCUUACACACAUCCCACAUGAGUCUUAAUGGAGGAGGAGAAAGGACAGGAGAAAAAGUUUUUCUGGAUUUUCUUCUUCAUUUCUAGUUUUUAUUUCUUACUUUCCUGUUCUGUUCAAAUUUCAUCAGGGAUUGAACAAAAGCUUCAGAUGGACAAGGUGACCACAUUGUCAGUAUCACACUUACCUUUGUCCAGGUUCAUUGGGAAGCAUUUACUCCCUGCUCCCUCAGACCCUCACUUAUGUAGGAUUUACACAAGGGCUUUGAUUGCACAUUCUGGAAGAAAGCCAAAAGACGUUACUGUCCUUCAGUGACAGCUUGAUGGUUUUUAAUAUUCGUUGGAUCUCCUUUUCAUCCACUGCACAUGCCUUUUUUAACUGCUCACGUCCACGAUUUGGCUUCUCCAUUACACAACCAAGGAUUAUAAGGGCAGCUGUCCUCUAAUGUAAAACACGAGUUGACGCAAACAUUGCAGUCUCAUUUAAAACUUUAAAGCCCCUUGAGCUUGAGAUACUUACAGCUCUACAGAGAUGUGCUAUUCAAACCCCAGCACAGAGAGGUUUCAGUUUAACUUUCUUAAAACGUUAAGAGCUGAUGGAACCAUAAAGACAUUCUGGUCUGACCUCCUACAUCGUGUUUUUACUCAGUCGCUUCCAUCUCGAUCCCCCCAACAUACUGAGACAAAUACACCUUUCUGAAAGGCUUGAUAUCUUAAUCUGCACCUGAAAAAUCUAUUACUCUACCACCAGUUCACACUAGCAUUAUUACCUCACACUCCAAAGCACAAUUGAGAAGCCCAGUUUUGUCACUCCCACCCCCAGCCAAUGAUUUUUACCUUUUCUCUGCUGCUCAGUGCUUUGGUAUUCCCUAUCUUGGUGCCAUGAGGGAGCUAGACACAUCGGAGGUUGUAGCAUUUCUACCACCCAGAAACAUGCAAGCAAUAGCAUGCAUACAUGAAGGUCUCUAGUAUGUCUUCUUACCUUGAAGGACUCACCAGAAUCCAGAGCCAGGUAUAUCUGCUGUGCUCUCCUCCUGACCUGGUCCAAGUCCAUUCCUUCCUGAGACACUCUCGCAGGGAAAUGAUGAAAAGUUUAACAUGGAAAGAACAUGCCCAUAGCUGUGAGGGACAGCUCUAUUUUUAAAGCAACGAGCUCACCACAUAUUCCAUUUUCUCUCACUUAAUCACACAACUUUUAAAAUGAUAAUUUAUUUUUUUUUUUCUGAACACAUCCAUUCUGGACUAGUUUCACCACCCUCAUUCGACAAAAUGCACGCUAAUUUUAAUGGAUGUUUUUCUUGAGUAAGAACGAAUACCACCUUUGGUUUCUGAGCCUUCUUUACAACAGAUUUGGCGAAAGUCAAAAUAAACAACAUCCAGCAAUUCACCUUUAGGUAGUGCAAAAACAGUCCCCAGAGUGACAGCUUUCAGUUCAUCUCCAGUGAGAGCUGUAUAAGCCGUAAGCUCUUCUAUAAACACAGCAAUGAAUAACGAUCAGUCUCUUACUCCUCUCAGUCUCUCGUGUGACAGACCCUUAAUUAUGGCUAUUAGAUUAUUAUUUUCUCCAGAGAAUCCUAUAAGGCAAAAGCAGUGUUCUUCUCUGGACAUCAAAGACAGAAUUAAGACACUGCUUAGGAAAGCUCCUCAGAAACAGCAGCUGUUCAUCCCCACUAAGGAAUGCCCUAUUUGAGACAGAGUGCGCAGCUGCAGCUUCACUGUCUGCUCUGUAUGAGGCACCCUGCAAAAACUGAUGCUCCGCUUUGAAGGGAAAGAUGCCCACCUAAAACACAGGGCAGCCCACCUCCUGCUAAGCUCUGAAAAACUAUUCAGAUUUCUGUUACCUUAGACCUCUGUAUCCUACAAAGAUCACCCAUUCUCAAUAAGUCCUGGACCAGUGAGGCUUGCAACACAACAGUACAAAAGCAGUAGCACAAAUUAUGACUGUGUAACAGAAAAGUGAACUAGAAUCCACCCACCUAAGGCACUGUACCACCAGCAUCUGUUACUGCACAUAUCUUUUUAUGUGUAACAUUUAUUGGCAUCCUUCGGGGAUAACUCUGCAUGCUCCUACAGUCAACUAGGAAGAAUGUCUGUCCCCCAAGAGAGAACAACAGGCCAGAAUCAAGACUCAGGCUGACUCCAAGCAACAAAUGAUUCCCGAACACUUUAUACAUAGGUAACACGAAUCAAUUCUUAAAUAGUCAUUACUAGAAAACUAAUGUAACUGCCUCUCAAGAGAAUUACUGCUUAAUACUAUUAUCUUCUGUGGGCAUGUAAAGCAAGAUAAGUAUAUAGAGCAGGUGAGAAUAUAUAUAUUAUGAUAACUUAUGUGGUUUAGGCUUGUUUUGGAAUACUGUAGCAACUUAUUGCUAGCCAACAUCUUACAUCAGUAAGAAUGUAGAAAGUAAUGUCUGGCAAUUUAUCAGUUCUUAAUAAAGCACAGUGUUUAGAAGUUUAACUGUUGAAGAUGUUCUUGAUUUUGAUUCAUCUGAUUUUUGUCUGGGCUCAGCACUAUGGCUAAUCCCUGUUUCCCUGGCUCCUUCAGGGUCUGACAGUUCCAAAUUCUUACUUGAUUGGACUUAAAAAAUAAAUAAAUAAAAAUUAGGAACUGCUUAAGCAGCACUGCCCCUAUCCGUCCCCAGCCCGUGUGUGAAAUUAGCAUUGGUUCAAAACACUGGAAAUUCACACGUGCACACUUAAAGCACAGGUUCCAGGAUGGACAUUGCACCACCUGUGAAUUCCCCAACCUAAAUGCAUACUGUCACUCACUUAAGUGAAACCCAAGUAGCCUGUAUGUGCCAAGCAGGUGAAGUAUUUUCAUAUAAACACGUUUGUAGAGGUAGGUUCUUUCAGAGUUUCACAGACACGUGGUUACUAAGCACAAGAUAAGUAAAUUUAAAACAACUCUGCCAAAAAUUAAACUGGUUCCACACCUAUAAUAAUUACUUUGAUGCUUCUGAGGCAUGACUGCAUUUGAAGCAGAAUAUAUUAUACCACACAUCACAGUUGUCCAGAGCUGUCAUAAGCCAUUAAGAUAUACAAAGUCACGAUCCUCAGUUACACCCUUAGACAAUGGGUAACACUUCUUUGUGAAUGCUUCUCUGUCCAAGUAUCUCUUGCUUGCAUGCAUCAGAUGCUCUGUGAGAUACAUCCCUCAGCUGUGGCAGCUCAGCACCUUUCCACCAAUUUAAGUCAGCUGAUUGGGAUUGCUAAAGAUAGCUCUCAUGUCAUACUGAGCUCUCAAAAGUGUUCUGAAAUGGGACAUUUAAACUAUUUACCACAAUUCUUGUUGCAGUUUAAAAGCUGCACAAUGUUUUUGAAGCUUUGUGAUUCCAGAAAUCCAGUGUCUAAAUGAAGGUCUGCUGGGAAAAAAAAAAAUAGCUGAUUUGUCACAAAAAAAAAAUCAAUCUUCCACUGCCCAAUUCCGUUCUUAAUGAAUGAGACAAUUCAGAAACCUAUGGGAACAUGCUUUAUUGAUUCAUUCACAAGUCACUCAAACCCACUGCCUCGGUUCCCUCCGAUAAGACAAACCGCACAGCGCUCCUGGUGUACUGAAUUGCAGGAAAAGCCAAUGACUCCACAGCUGUUCUGCUGGAAGUCCAGUGAGACUAAACACAGCCAAUAAAUCUAAACGCAGCACACCACUAGGUUAAUGAUAAAUGUGUGUAGAAGACAAAGAGACUUGCAUUUCCUCUUUAUUAUCCCUUCAGUUGAGCCACUGCCUUAUCUGUAAUUUAUUUACCCAGGACAGUUGGGCCCAGAUGCGUACCUGUUUUUCCACUGAAGUACUUGUUUUUCUCCAUUUUGCAGAUGGAUUAAAUAAGCCAGGAGGAGGCCAACCUACAUGUGUGAGGUCACACAGAGAACUGUAAUCUACACUGCAGUAGAUGCCUGAAUCCAUUCAAGUUCAAGACCUAAUUUGGCAUAAAGCUAGUGUGUAGCUGUACUGCACUGUAUAUUUUAUAAACAUAUCUUUCAAUAAUCUCCUGUGCUUCUCAUGAAAGCAAUAACAAGCAGUAAGAACAGCUGAGUCUGUAUUGGGCAAGCUUUCCUAUUAAAUUCCAGCAAUACAUCUCAGCUGUGACCUGUAGCAAUUUGGGUAACCUAAUAAGGCUGACUGUCCCAUAAGAACCAGGGAUGAUACGCUGUCUACCCGCAAGAUAUGAGGAAGUACAAGAGAGCAACUUUACAGCAAGUAUCACCUAGCAGAGCAAAAGUGAACCUAAAAAACAGAUCUAAGAAAAUACAGUAAGAGACAACACAUAUGUGAGAAUAGACCAUUUGUUUAUAUAGUCCAAUAGAUACUUACCACCGUUUCAACAUUCAUUUCCAACUCAAAACAUCACAUCUGCAUGUCCUGUUUAACAGAGUAUGCUACAUGGGGAUGUCAUGAAGGACCUUCUGGUAACUACAGUUAGUACAACUACUCCAGUGCACGUUACCUGAAGUUGGGCAUUCUGUCAGAUUCGCCCACCUUUUCCUAGAAAUCCAAAAGGUCUUCUGCCUUACGAUGCAAUAGCAUUUAAAGGACUGCUCUUAAAAUCAUUCUAAUAUAUAUGCUACCUUUACAUGUGCAUUUAAUAAGUGGGCACAGAUCCAGUCAGGCAUACGCAAGUCUCUACUUCAAAACUCACCUCUUCAGCUGUAUUAUGAUUUCCAUCCCCUAGUAGUUCUAGUACAAACUUUUGCACAGAAUGGCUUCAGAAAGUGGUCUCUGCUCUCAUGUAUCUGCUGGAUAUAUAAAGCAACAAGCAAUUUAGUGGUGUACAGGAGAAUUAAACAUUUUUUAUGCACUUCAAUGUUUCCCCUAAUUCUGAAAAUCAACCAAAACCUUCAACAUAAAAAUCACUGUUCCUUUAGAGAUGUCUCUCAGCAGGGCGGUGCUCACAGCCACAUUGUCACUGUGUGUUCAAAGCCGUCAGCACUCAACGUGCUAAGAAGCGACACUGAAUUCUGCAAUCAGAAGCACAAAGUUUCAAAAAGAUUUCAGAAUCUAUGUGAAUAUAAAUAGCUGCACUGAAUGCUUCAAAGGCCGAAAACGUCGUAGAGAUUUACGCUUCAGUCUGUUUUGACAGAUAAACAGACAAAAACAUAUUUCGUAAAGGAGCAAUAAGACUUCCACUGUAACACUUCCCAUAAUUAGACCGUAAGAGACACUGAAAUACUUACAUUCACUGUAUAGAAGGCUUAUGUCUCACUUCUGCUUACUACUUGAGCUCCUGAAAAGCACCCAAUUGUCUAACCUUAACAUGUAUUAACGUGAGCCCCAAGCUUUCUGCACAUGUUCAUACCCACCAUUUAUACCAUCAUCUUCCCCACCCUGCUGACUUCUUAUUGUUUAGUGGAAAUAUUCACAUUUUCCAAAGGUUUUUUUUUUCUUCUGAAGCAGAACCUGAUGUUGCUUAAUGCUCAGUGUUAAGCAUUAAUACACACAUCAAACUAAAAACGUUGAUAAAACCUUCCACUGGAAGGAAAUGCAAUUGGAAAGAUGCUUUUUCUAACGGCGCUUCCUGUCCUUCGCUCCAAAUGACUGAAGAUCUUUUUAUUGUUCUGUGUUCUCUCUUUAGUGUGGCACGAUUUGAGUUCCAAAUCCCCCAAGAGUUCUGUGACCAACCUCCUGUGAGUUUCUGGGAUGUAAAGGUCAGAGCUGAAGACGGCAUGGACAGAGUGUACAGAAGAAAAGUCUCAGAACCUCUUGCUUCAAAUCCAUCACUUUCAGAGAGAAAAAACAGACAGCAAAGCACUCCUCUUUUAGAGGCAAAUCAGCCAUGGUGGGAACCUCUCAAACAACUGAGAACAACUGAAAACGGGCACUCCUGAAAUCAAGGAGAGAGGAUGGCUUUCCCAGAGAACUUCUGCACGGAGAUCUGGCUUCUGAAUUUCUUGGAUUCCUUAAAUGAAAAUCUUACACUGGGAAUUCCAAACAAUACAGCCUGUAACGUUUGGCUAGCAUACAGCACUCAGUGCAACCCCCCGGGCCGUGUUCCUGGACUCGUCCCAUCCCCACACUACAAAGAUGUCUUUCCUCAGCCAGCUCUGCUGCCAGCCAAGUUCCUGACAAGGUGUUGGUGCUCUGGUCUGAACAUUGGUUAAUCUUCCCCAUGCUGGCUGGCUCCGUUGGUCUUAAAGAAGCACCAUCCAAUCUCAAUCCCAGUGUUCCUUAACUGCUUCAUUCCCUUUCACAUUUUCUAUUUUUUAUAAUCACUUCUUAGGAACAACUGUAAUACUACUAGCUAGUGGAACAGGUGUCGUUACUAAUAAAGCCUGUAAGAAGGAAAACCAGUGUCCCACCAAACAUAUGUAGAGGAUGCACCUUCCAACAUUAAAGCUCUGAUUUGCAACCUGAAAGAAUUCUCU